rnacentral:rRNA from 1 species
GACGAACGCUGGCGGCGUGCUUAACACAUGCAAGUCGAACGGAAAGGCCCUGCUUUUGUGGGGUGCUCGAGUGGCGAACGGGUGAGUAACACGUGAGUAACCUGCCCUUGACUUUGGGAUAACUUCAGGAAACUGGGGCUAAUACCGGAUAGGAGCUCCUGCUGCAUGGUGGGGGUUGGAAAGUUUCGGCGGUUGGGGAUGGACUCGCGGCUUAUCAGCUUGUUGGUGGGGUAGUGGCUUACCAAGGCUUUGACGGGUAGCCGGCCUGAGAGGGCGACCGGCCACAUUGGGACUGAGAUACGGCCCAGACUCCUACGGGAGGCAGCGGUGGGGAAUAUUGCACAAUGGGCGGAAGCCUGAUGCAGCAACGCCGCGUGCGGGAUGACGGCCCUCGGGUUGUAAACCGCUUUCGCCUGUGACGAAGCGUGAGUGACGGUAAUGGGUAAAGAAGCACCGGCUAACUACGUG